rnacentral:lncRNA from 13 species
UGAAAUUGUGUAAUCCUUUUCUGGAGUUUUAUUAAUUCAAUAAUGGUAUUCUCUGUUACAAUUAAUAAAAGAUACAGCAAAUUUUUCUCCUAACUGCAGUAAUAAUUUCACUUACAAUUAGUUUGAUGUGCUCAUUUCGCUCAAAUUGAUGAAUUAAUUAAUAUGAAGUUUAUCAAAGAAAGGCUCGUUAUUAAAUGAGUUAAAAGAAAGAGAUUUGUGAAAUUCUUUGUGUGAAAAGAGUAUCUUAGAGUUCAAAGAACUUUCGUAAAACAAUUGUUUCGUCCCGAUGUUGCUAUUUCUUUACUUUUAUGAACGCACCAAUAUUUAAUGGGUGAAAUAUCAGAGAAAAUCUUUUUUUUUACGUUCAGUAAUCAAACCGAUUUUUUUAUCCAAUCUAUACGUUUUGCCAGACGUUUUCGUUAUUUUUUUCCUAAAAUAUAAAGAAUUUUUUAAAUAUUUUAGUAAAAGAUUCAAGUGAUAAUUUUACGUGUUGUAAACUUGACGAUAUAAACGUUUAUACGAAGGGCUUGUGUUAAUCUUUACUAAAUUUUCAUUUUCAGUACAUAAUAAAUUCAUCAAUUUAGUAAAGCGAAAAAUUUUAGCAAUAAUUUAAUGAAAUAUAAUUUCACAACAUAUCCUUGCGUAAGGGUCUAUGCUAAUUUUUACUAAGUUUUUUUUUUCUGGUAUAUAACUUAUAAAUUUAGCAAAAGGUGAAAUAUUUCAAGAUUAUCUUAUUUUAAAUAUAAUGUAUUUUAUAUAAAAUUUAUGAGUCUGUCAUAUACUAAGGCUACGUCAUAUACUAAGGCUUAAUAUAUGUACUAAAAAUCUAUAGUUGUGUUUAAAAAGAAUAUAAUACGUUUGUCCUGAAAUUUUAAAAUUCACCAUAUGAUGCAAAUAUGAUACCUUUUGAAAUUAUUCUACUUCUUCACAUUACUUCCAUUGUAAUGCUUCAGGAAGACUAUCCAUACCGUAUAUUAUACCAUAAUUUUCGUAACGCACCUACCGACAUUUAUCUCUGCAAUAUUCGUCUUCAAAAAAUUUAAUAUUAAUUUCGCAACAAAUCUAAUAAUAAGUCAAAAGACAUGGUAGCGGCAAGUUUAAUCAAAUAUAUCACUAAUCACACAUACACACAUCGCGAACCGGUCAAUUAAUAUUAACUAGUGAUUUUUUAAAUAUUAAAUAAGUAAUCUCAAAUAAUUGAAGUGUUAAAUAACGCUGUGCUGAAAUACAUAUUACUUGUAAUUAUAAUACGAGAUACAUUAUUUAUCAUUUGAUCAGAACAGAUUUUAGAAGGGAAAUAAGUGAUAGAUACAGCUAGAUUUAUCUGAGACCUUUAACAACACAAACUCUGAUGAUGAAUUGGAAAAGGAAUUAGCAGAAUUGUUGGCUGAGGAUGAUGCGAAAGUUUCCAUUAUGGUUCCCAAUUCGAAUCAAGAAAUUAAAAAAUUGAAUCAACGUUUGCAAGACUUAUACAUGAAAGGUUUAGUUUCACCUAGCAAAAAUGUAGUCCUACCGUCUGUACCAUCUGAUAAAGAAAAGGCACUAAAGGAACCUGAGUGUGUGUAAGUGUCAAUAGUCAAUACGAUUAUAUAAUAACUUUAUAAAAAAUUAGUCAUCUCAAAUUAAAAAAAAAUGUUUUACUGUAGGUAUUGUGUCAUAUAAUAAAACGUAAUUUUUAAUGUACAUUGUGUAUAAAAACAAUAUGUAAAAAUUUUUUUAUUAUAUCUGUUUUGCAUAACUUGGCAUACAUGAAGUUAAAAUAGAAGAUAUGUAUG